UACGGAGGGUGCAAGCGUUGUUCGGAAUCACUGGGCGUAAAGGGCGUGUAGGCGGUCCGCUAAGUCUGAUGUGAAAGCCCGGGGCUCACCCCCGGAAGGGCAUUGGAAACUGGCGGACUCGAGUCCCGGAGAGGAAGGUGGAAUUCCUGGUGUAGCGGUGAGAUGCGUAGAUAUCAGGAGGAAUACCGGUGGCGAAGGCGGCCUUCUGGACGGUGACUGACGCUGAGACGCGAAAGCGUGGGGAGCAAACAGG
rnacentral:rRNA from 1 species